GCUGGGUGCAGUGGGGCACACCUGUAAUCCCAGUGUCUGAGGAGGCUAAGACAGGAGGAUCACAGUUCAAAGCCAGCCUCAGCAACAGCUGGGGCACUAAGCGACUCAGUGAGACCCUGCCUCUA
rnacentral:sRNA from 1 species